GAUUGUGUUUACUGCUUGGAACAAGAGUCUUGUUCUCACCUAUUUUUUGAAUGUAUAGUUGCUAAACAUCUCUGGGCCCACAUUGAGGAAUAUUUCUCUAGUCAGAUUGGCUCAUCCUUCGAAUAUGUCGCCAGAUUCUGGAUUGCUACCAAAAAGUGCUUAGUUUUAAACACUGUUAGCUCAGCUGUCCUUUGGUGCCUCUGGAAAUAUAGAAAUGCUAUGAUUUUCAGUAACACCUCCUGGAUUUCCAUUCCGCAGGUCUUGAGGUUGAUCAGGAACAUGGUGAGGAACUGGGCGAUUAUCUCCUCCGGAUCGGACAAGGAUAAGUUGAUGAGCUUCAUGGAAACCCUAACAAGAUCCCUCCAGAAACCGUUGGCGAUCACUUGUGGCUGA
rnacentral:rRNA from 1 species